GGAAAUCCACCAAAUUCUCAAGAUGAAGAGCCAGGAAUCCUUCAUGGCCUUAGGGAAGACAUGGACCAGAGGAAAGGCAGUUGUGCCACAGGAGACCCCUAGGUCCCCAGACCCUCACCUGGUGCAGCAUUUCUCUCUUGGAGCCAGUUGAUUAUGGACUAAAUCACCCCACACUAUCAGCUAAAGUUAAGUAUCUCUUUUUCAGUAGUAGAUGUUGAAUAUUUUGUGUCAGAAACAGAAAAGCCGACUAACACAUAAAGAAUAAACAAAAUAAGGAGUCAGACUUCUGGAUUUUGGACUUGAGCAUUUAUUGUUUGCUGAGAUGGGAAUGUUUGGACAUUUUAAACUAAGAGUCAGGAGGAGACUCAGGGUUAAUUAUUUAAUAAGCAAUAGGAUAUAGAGUCUUUAAUUCCUUUGGGGGAUCUGAUGGGCAGAUUUAGAUUUAGAAAUGGUGAGCCAAAAGACGAUGGUUAGUUAGAACCAUAAAACCAAGAGAGAUGGCCCCAGGAGAAAAUACAGGGUGAGAUUUAUAAGAGGAAGAGGAGAAAACCUUAGAAAUGUGAAUACGACUGGGGCUGCCAUUUAAAGUGUAUAUUGCUUUUUAAUCUGGUCAUGAAGGAAGCCCUUGUCUUCUAACUUUUCAGAAAAUGACAUGCUAAAGGUGAGGAGGAAGCUGCUCGCGUGUGUGCCUGGAGCCAGCAUUUCCUGAUUAAAGAAAGCUCUCCUUGGGCUUGUGAUGAUGCAUCUGAGGCUAUCCUUUGCUUGAUCUUUUAUUUGGAGAGAACCUUUUGGGAAAAAUUGAUCUUUUCUUCUCAUUUCUCUUCUGGCUCAGUCUCAUCUUAUAAUAUUUAUAUUGGCCACUUGAUUUUCUUUUACCAGUUGGGACAAGUUGUAUUUUCAUAGCCUUAUUUCCCCUCACCCCACUCUGUUGUAGAGAAAUAAAAAACAGAAAUGUCAGGUUUAAAGCAGACAGUUUGCCAAAGAUGUGUUUUUCUUUUGCUGACAUAGGAAAGAAAGCUCUCUCAUCACAAAACAGACCAUUUCUCAUUCUAAAUCCACACUGGCUGUCCAGCUUGUGGGGGAAUGAGCCUGGUUGCCCCUUUGUGGUAGUAGAAUCUAUUUCAAUAAUACUAGUUUUACACUUAUUGAUAAGUGGAAUUUAUUUUCCAACAAGAAUUGCCAAUUGUGAAUUAUAAAUCAUCUCCCUGAGCAUCCCACUAGAUUAAAGCCAGUCUUGCCCUCUGUAAAUUGGUUUUGAUUCUCCACAUUCAGAAGUGACUCUGUCAUCAUUGGGACUGACUCCUAUUUGUAUUCAUACUUGGAUCUGCUCCCCAGCACAUCCUAAUCAUCCCAAUCAAUUUAAGGGGUGGGAAUUUAUUGAAAAAUCCCCAUUUUCCCACUCCCCAUUUCUUUGCUUUGCAUGUCAAAGUCUUGCAGAAUAAUUCUAACGUUUAUUCUAGAAGAUAGACUUUUCAAAUAUUUAAAUUGAAGUAUUUAAACUUGUCUAUGGUGUUGGUCUCCUGAUUUUCCUUUCCCUAGGUUUUGCUACCGUCCUCUCCUACAAACUUUACAGGUGUCUGAUGCAAAGUAAUCACUGUUAUUUUGGAGUUAAACUAAACCCAAAAGUCUUUGAGUUAAGAUAUACACUUUUAGACCUAAUAAAUUCAAGUAUCUUCACUAUUGUGAAGAUAUUUGAAGCUACAUGGGACAUUGCAUUUCACUUUGGGCAGGGAAACCAUUUCUUUAUAUUCUUUCUUUAUCUUUGGUUCAUGACUUUUAGGAGAACUACUAUCUUCUGUAUCCUAUAUUGUGUUAAGGAAUUUAUUUUUCCUAGUUAAGUGACAUCUUCUCUUUUUAGGUCUUGAGUCUGUCAUGUAAACUUUAGCUGUUAACCUCAGGACUUUGUCACAUAUACACUUUUGCACUAUUUCCUCCUGCAAAUAAUUUAUUGAAAGAAAAGUUUUUUAAAAAAAUUAUACCAAAUUUGUCAGGCACCUCUGUCUAUAUUAACAUUACUCUAUUAGAUGAUUCAAUUUAGCUAAUAUUCAGUUUAUCAAAAGCUAACCUAUGUCAUGUAGAGUAACAAUAACCAAACCUGGCCAUUUGUGGUCUGUAAAGGGAGGUAACAAGGGUUCACCAAGAAGCAAGCCCUCCCUGGGAACCAGCGCCUUGUGUGGGCUACCACCAGCAGAAGGACAGCCUGAUUCAAAUCUUUCCCCAUGAGUCAGCGCCAUUUGUGCAGUGUGGCGGGAGAGAACUCAUCAAGAAGUAAGCUCUCCCUGCGAACCAGCACCUGCACCGUGUGUGGGCUGCUGCUGGCAGGGAGAUAGACAGACCUCAACCCCUUCUGGUGUGUAGGCUGACAAACAAGAAGACCCAAUCCCCUCCCAGCUCCAUAAGCAACAGAGUGAUCCAGAGAAACACAGGCUGCCCUGAUAGCUAUUGAGAGGACAGCAGUGUGAAGGGUGGCAUCUAGGGGGAUUGCCUUCUGAAGGUGGUAGCCAUUGUUAAUUCCCUAUCAUCUUGUUUUGAAGUCCUGUAUCAUUUUCAUUCUUUUGUUGUGUUGGUUUUUUUCUGUUUUGUUUUGUUUGAUCUUGUUAUAUCUGAUGGUGUAAGCAGCCAUUUCAAAGAUAGCAAGAUAUAUUAUGGUAGCCAUUUUGGAUUUACUGUUGUCAUGUUUUAAAGUCCUUCAUUGCAUUCAUUGUUUUAUUUUUAUUGGUUCUAUUCUGUUCCAUUCUGUUUGCUUUUCAGUAUGUCUGAAGGUAUGGGCAGCUAUUUUGAAGACAACAAGAGUCAUUAUGAUUCCUUCUCCUGGUUAAAGAUGGGGCUGGCUGCUUCCAAUGCCUCUUUCGGUUCUCUGAGGCUAGUCACUGAUUGCGGGCCAUGCUCAUUUCAUCUGAAGAGUGUCACAAAAGAGUGGCUUACCGGUACUCCUUCAAUUUCAUAAUCAGUAUGAAGGUGAAAUCUUCACUCCAUUGGUGCCAGAAGACCAAAUAAAAGAGAGAAAGGCAAAAUAUUUGAAGGAAGUUGGAUGUGCAGCAAAGAACUCCAUCUCAUCAGGCUCAGCAAGAGCAUACUUUGAGCCUUUUUGAAGGUUGAUGUCAUGUGACACCCCUCUGCCUAGCGACCUGCCUGCAUGAUAACCCUGGGGAACCUCAAGUUCUGGGAGAUGGAGCAGCUGUUCCUGUGGCUCGCCUCAGGGGCUCUUUGUUCUCCUGACUGGCCUUGCUUCAGCCCCCACCCUACAUGUGUGAUCGAUCUCCAGCUUCAGCUGCUCCCCACAGAUUGCUGUCUGAGACAUGCAAUUAGGAGCCAGGCAGGAGUUGUCAGAACAAGAGAACCACAUUUUGUUUAUUAGCUCCUCUAUCAAAUCUUUGUCUCUUUCCUCUGCCUUCUUUUGGGUAUGUUUCUCUGUUGGACCCUGCAGUGGACAUUUUGCAUCUAUAUAUCACGCACUGCAGGAAUGUAAGUUCCACCAAGAAUGUUAUGUUGAAUGAAGCAAGCCAGAUACUACAUAUUGUAACUCAUUGAUGGAAACCAAUAAGUCUACCUUGUAGAAGUACAGAAUGGAACAGUGAUCACUAGAGAUAAGGAAAAGUAAAGGAGAAUGGGUCAGAAAGAAAGUAUGGAAGCAGCUUGCCUCCCUGGUAGGCGGCUGUGGUGUGGCCAGCUGCAGCCCUUCCAAAGGGGAGAACCACCAGAGUCUUCUGAGACCCAUGCUGUAUUGGAACUUAGGACACUGGGAAACCAAGCAAGCAGCUCGCCUCCCUGGUAAGUGGUUCUGGCAGACUGUGGCAACUUCCAGGGGGAGAACCACCAGUGUCUCCUGAGAUCUGUACCAUGUUGGAACUUUGGACCCUGGAAAACCGAGCAAGCAGCUCCCCACCCUGGUAAACGGCUGUGGUGUGGCUGACUGUGGUUCUUCUAGGAGGAGAACCACCAGUGACUCCUGAGGUCUGCACCAUGUUGGAACUUAGGACACUGGGAAACCAAGCAAGCAGCUGCCCUCCCUGGUAAACUGCUGUGGUGUGGCAGACUACAGCCCUUCCAGGGGGAGAACCAUCAGAGUCUUCUGAGAUCUGUGCCAUGUUGGAACUUAGGAUGCUGGGAAACCAAGCAAGCAGCUCCCCUCCCUGGUAAACCACUGUGGUGUGGCAGACUACAGCCCUUCCAGGGGAGAACCAUCAGAGUCUUCUGAGAUCUGUGCCAUGUUGGAACUUAGGAUGCUGGGAAACCAAGCAAGCAGCUCCCCUCCCUGGUAAACCACUGUGGUGUGGUAGACUGUGACCCUUCCAGGGGAAGAACCACCAGCAACUCCUGAGAUCCACGCCAUGUUGGAACUUAGGACGCCAGGAAACCAAGCAACUAGCCUGACUCCCUGCUAAGCAGUAGUGAACCUACUGGUGCAUGGCCUAGAGUCAAACAUCCCACUUCCCCUACCCUCUUCCCCUGUCCCCCCAUUAGCAAAUGGGAACCAGAAAUCUGAGCAUCUCUUGGGAGGUUGACCACAGCAAAUAAGGGGGAUUUCCUUCUAUCAUCUCUUUGAAGCCAAAUAUUUUUAUUACUGUUUUCCUUUAUUCUGAUUAAUGGUACUGCUCUAUUCAAUAUUCUGUUUUGAUAAGUUCUAUAAUGUUCUGUAUUUCUUUUUAUUUUGAUAUACGUGAUUGAAAGAACAACUAUUGUAAAGAUAACAAAAUAUACUGUGAUACCUAUUACUGUUAUCCCGGUAACCUGCUAUGAAGUUCUGUACCAAUUUCACUACACGGCCUCAGUUGGCUUUAUUCUGUCUGGUUCUGUUGUAUUUUACUACUUUCAAAAUUAAAAAAAAAGGAAAGAAAGUAUGAAGGACUUCUGGGAACUAAGAAUUGUGCAGGAGCUGAGCAUGUUCCUGGUAGAUGAACAUAAUGUAUGUAUGUAUGGAAAUAUUGUGGUGUAUCCCAUUAAUUCAUAUGAUUAAAAAUGUAUUGAUAAAGAGAAUGUAAGCUCCAUGCAGGCAGAGACCAUGCCUAUCUUCCUUGUAUUUGUGUCUACAGUAUUAGCAAAAUGUGGGGCACAAAAUUGGAGUUUAAUGAUCUUGGAUGAACAAAUAUAUGAAUGAAGGGUAAUUAAUAAAAUGCAACCACAAUUUAGGUGCACCAAAUUGUUUACUUCAAUCCCACUGUUUCAAUUGCUUUCUUUCUGAAGCUUUGCAUGACAGAGUAACAAAAAUUAAAAGGGAUCAUGAUAAGAAUAGGUAUAGUCUGGCUUCCUUCAACUGUGAGAAAAUUUCCUUUUUGACCAUAAGAAUAUGACUCUCAACCCUUUCCCUGCACCAUAAUCACCUGUGUAGCUUUUGAAGUUGCAGAUAAAAUUUUUAAUUAUUGUAAGUUAAUUAUUGUAUAUUAUCAGCAUUUCCAGGUGAUUGAAACAUGUAACCCAGAUUGAAACCUACUGCUUUGGGUGAGUAAUUAUUUUGAAAAUCCUGAUUUAAUUCAAGCAUCUCUUUGACUGUAUGUUACUGCAUGGCUGCUGGAAUAGAGAAGCACCUGAAAACCUACCAGUGUGUCUGAUCAGGUUGACCAGAUGGCUCUUCAAAAAGGGAGGCCAGAAGAAAUAAUCAGAAGGUUAGUAAAUGUCCUGAGUACAAACAAGCCCAGGAUAGCUAUGAUCAGGUAGAGUCCUGCAAAAACAAACCUAAUCUCCUUCCUAACUUUACUGUCUGCAUACACUAGGGUUCUCAUCCGUAUGGAGUGGAUAGCACUGGGCUCAUCCUGGAUAAGCCUUUUCCUAGAUGAAAAAUGCUGGAAUGGGUUUCUAGAUUGGGAACAGAUUCAAGGGCACUGCCCUAGAAGGUCCUGUGGAGGGAAGUGGAUUGAAUGUGCUAUGGCAGAGGAUUUUGAAAGCCAGUUGGCAAAGAUUAUGGGAAAGAGUAAGCAAGCUAUGGCUUUCAAGAAUGAAUUUGUAAAGUCUUAAAAAUAGGAAAA